CCAUCGGUGGUUCAGUGGUAGAAUGCUCGCCGGGUUCGAUUCCCGGCCGAUGCA
rnacentral:tRNA from 1 species